rnacentral:rRNA from 1 species
AUUGAACGCUGGCGGCAGGCCUAACACAUGCAAGUCGAGCGGAUGAAGGGAGCUUGCUCCUGGAUUCAGCGGCGGACGGGUGAGUAAUGCCUAGGAAUCUGCCUGGUAGUGGGGGCUAACGUCCGGAAACGGGCGCUAAUACCGCACACGUCCUGAGGGAGAAAGUGGGGGAUCUUCGGCCCUCACGCUAUCAGAUGAGCCUAGGUCGGAUUAGCUAGUUGGUGGGGUAAAGGCCUACCAAGGCGACGAACCGUAACUGGUCUGAGAGGAUGAUCAGUCACACUGGAACUGAGACACGGUCCAGACUCCUACGGGAGGCAGCAGUGGGGAAUAUUGGACAAUGGGCGAAAGCCUGAUCCAGCCAUGCCGCGUGUGUGAAGAAGGUCUUCGGAUUGUAAAGCACUUUAAGUUGGGAGGAAGGGAAGUAAGUUAAUACCUUGCUGUUUUGACGUUACCAACAGAAUAAGCACCGGCUAACUUCGUG